rnacentral:lncRNA from 1 species
CUGUGCUCCAGCCUCAGAGGCUCUAACCAUGAGCGCUGCAAGCCUGGUUGCGCUCCGUGAAUCCCAGCUGGGGAAAAAACUACAAGUGGCAUGAAUGGAAGCCAAAGUCAAGCCCGUUUGCCAACCUGCAUGUCCAUGCCUGUAAGCCCUUCUCUUGGCCAAGGAAGAAAGGAAGAAAGAAAAAAGAAACCCAGGGGCCUGUAUCCCCUGAUUAAACACAGCACAGCACUCCAGGCAGACAUGCCCGGUGGCGGCUCCUUUGCACCAUUGACCUCAGGCCAGACACCUCAGCGCCAACAAUGGGACCUCGGCCUUCCGGCUAGGUUUGCCCCAGGCUGGGCAGGAAACCAGCUCGGCCGAAGACAGGGGCCAUUUCGAGCAGUGGGACCCCAAGACAGCAAACCCAGCCCAGUCAGGACUUGACACUUAGGACAAUAUCUAUCUCUAUAGAAUUUUAGCAUGAUAUGGCUUUUUCCCCCAGAAAACAACAAAUAAACCAGCACCAAGCAAACACAAAGAAACAAAAAGUCAGAACAAACCAGCCCUGCACAGAUGUAACGGCCCAGGAGAUGGCGAGUGUGGGAGGGAGGAACAGGGCUCCAGCACAGGUGCGAGUUCCUGGGCAGAGCCUGAAGACAGAGGGAGGGGACCAGCGCUCGGGAAGUGAAAAAACCGCGUCGCCUGGAGAUUCAUCAGGAAAAAUUAAAGUUGGCUGUGAGCUCCCGGAUCCGGUUUUCUCGAUUCAUUUUCUUCAGUUUCAUCCUGCGGUUCUGAAACCAGAUUUUCACUUGUCUGUCCGUGAGGUGGACGCUGCGGCUAAUCUCUAGGCGCCGCUCUCGAGUAAGGUACAUAUUGAACAGAAACUCCUUCUCCAGCUCCAGUGUCUGGUGCUUCGUGUAGGGGCAGCGCUUCUUCCGACCACUCUUUGCCGUGAGCCAGUUGGCUGCGUUUUCACCUUUGGAAUUGCCUGGCAUGUAAGAGAAUAAAGAGGGGAUGAUUAAGUCGAGGCCACACGGGCUGCCCGCGGGGGUGAAUUGCCUCCGUUUCUCCCAUAAGAGAGAUGUCCCAAGUCACAGAGAAGAGAGUCGUGCCCCCGUUUUUGGCUUGCUGAGAGCAAGCAGUUCCUCCAAAAGUCAUGACAAAAAUUGAGUGGGCCUUCAAUCUACAUG